UUGCAUCCCUCUUUUUUUCUC
rnacentral:snRNA from 1 species